CACACACUACUAACUACUGUAGACUACAACUCCUAAUAACCUCAGCCAUUCUAAUGGGUGGCUCACAACUUCCAGCAUGGCCAUACAUCCCGUUAUACUAAUGAGAUGCAGCAAUGAUACUUUUUGUUCAAACUAUCCAGUCAUCACACCAGCUGCUGUGCAGCACAACUCCCACAAGUCUCAUCCAAUCUGAUGUCGAAGUGUUGUUCUCUUAUCCGCUGUAUUUCCAGAGAGCCUUGUGCAUCCUGAAGUACUGGUGUAUUGCUUGGUGGUCCAGCCCUCUUCAAUCACGUUGAGAAUGAGGCUUUCAGUUGAAUACUUCUCAGUCUCCAAAGUAGCCCCAGGCCAGCCUAGGGCUGUAUCUGGAGCCUCGUGCUGUCUCUGUACGCUCCUCCCAAACUCUGCCCACU